AUUGGAGGAUGUCGGGAAAUGCCUUCAAAACUGUCCACUAGGGGCAGUUUGAGUGCUAUUAUCAUCAUCAAGCGGGCUUGGGUUUUGCUAGGGCAUGGUGGACGGAGUGGUGAAAGGGCGUAAUCCUAUGACUCUAGAUCAGGUUGUACAUUUAAUCCUAGUCGUGGACACUGGUUUUAACCCUAUCCCUUAACCCUUACUCUCAGUUAACAUGACCUUCAGGAAUUAUAAAGCCUUUAUGUGCUUAAAAUAAAUCUGCUGCUAACGAGUCGCUAACUGUCAGAGAAAUGGAACUACAACAUUAGUCGCAGCAUUUUUCACGUCACGCCCACGCAAACUAGUCUACACUACAGUCUGACAAAAAUCUAGUUAGUUUAGUAAGCUUUCUGCUUCCCAGCUUAAAGGAAAACGCAAGGAGCGGGAUUGUGCUCGUUUGGUUCCUGAACAAUGCUGUCCAGAGGAGACUUUAGGUCUGUCUUUUAAGUUUGGGGAAGAAACUUGCUUUCUCCUAUGGAAAUGAAAAACACCUAGAACAAAUGCGCCGUGCAAUAGCUCUGUACUUGAUGAGCGAAUCAGGUAUGUUAAAUUAACUAUUGACAGUGUUGUUGACAGGAGCACAACUUUCACUGGGGAUGGGGGACAUGACCCCCCCCACACAUUCUAAAAUUGCAUUUUGGCCCCGCCCAGUUUUAUCAUUGCACAAAAAAAGCAUCAUUGGUGUGAUUUAGAACCAUGCCGAUACCUCAGAGCAGUCGGGUAGGGGACGGCAGGACCAGCACAGUGCUGCUGAAUUGUAAAAGCAAGCAGAGCAGAAACGGGCUACUCUUUAUUUGACUGAUGUAGCUGGCAAGGUAACUGCUGUUUGACUUAACAGAAAAAAACAUACUGUCACACCCUGAUCUGUUUCACCUGUCUUUGUGAUUGUCUCCACCCCGCUCCAGGUGUCGCCCGCUCCAGGUGUCGCCCAUCUUCCCCAUUAUCCCCUGUGUAUUUGUACCUGUGUUCUCUGUUUGUCAUUGCCAGUUUUUUUUGUUUCGUCAAGCCUACCAGUGUUUUUCCCUCUGCUCCUGUCUCUCGAUUGUUCCUGUUUCCUAGUUUUCCCAGUGUUGACCAUUCUGCCUGCCCUGACCCUGAGCCUGCCUGCCGUCCUGUACCUUUGCCCCACCUUUCUGGAUUACUGACCUUUGCCUGCCCUGACCCUGAGCCUACCUGCCGUGCUGUACCUUUGCCCCACCUAUCUGGAUUACCGACCUCUGCUUGUCCUUGACCUGCUUUUUACCUGCCCCUGUUUGAUUAAUAAACUGUUGCUACUUCAACGUUGUCUGCAUCUGGGUCAUACCUGAAAGGGGAUACAUACAGUUCCAGUCAAAAGUUUGGACACACUGUCACGUCCUGACCUGAGAGAGACAUUUUAUUUCCUCUAUUUUGGUUAGGUCAGGGUGUGAUGUGGGGUGGGCAUUCAAUGUGAUGUAUUUCUUUGUGUUUGGCUGAGUAUGGUUCCUAAUCAGAGGCAGCUGUCUAUCAUUGUCUCUGAUUAGGAAUCUUACUUAGGCAGCCUUUUCCCCACCUGUAGUUGUGGGUAAUUAUUAUUUCUGUGAGUGUUUUGUGUGCACCACAGUUGCGUCACGUUUCUUUCUGUUUACCUGUUUAUUGUUUUG
rnacentral:lncRNA from 1 species